rnacentral:sRNA from 1 species
CCUAUAAAAUCGGGACAUCUGGUCACCCUAGUUGGCAGUCCUACAGCAGUGAAAAGGCAAACUUUCCUACACAUUGCCCUACCACUGUGCCUCACCCUGGCCCUGGAGGGGCCACCUCCAAAGUGAGAGAGGAGUUCAGCCUCUAGGGCCCAUGCCCAU